rnacentral:rRNA from 1 species
UCCCUUCGGGGACGCUGNAGACAGGUGGUGCAUGGCUGUCGUCAGCUCGUGUCGUGAGAUGUUGGGUUAAGUCCCGCAACGAGCGCAACCCUUGUCAUUAGUUGCCAUCAUUAAGUUGGGCACUCUAAUGAGACUGCCGGUGACAAACCGGAGGAAGGUGGGGAUGACGUCAAGUCAUCAUGCCCCUUAUGACCUGGGCUACACACGUGCUACAAUGGACGGUACAACGAGAAGCGAACCUGCGAAGGCAAGCGRAUCUCUUAAAGCCGUUCUCAGUUCGGACUGU